GCAGGAGCCGCGCCGGCAGAGGCCGGUGGUGCUGCCGAGGCAUCUGGUCCAAGCUGAAAAAGGAACCAAACAUCAAAGACGGUCAAGAUGCUUGGUGUUGUAACAUCCUUGAUGAGAAUUGUCGUCAAUCUGGCAAGUGCUGAACAUUUUGGCAUCAACGGAGUGAAUGGUGGCAACCCGGCAGUCGGGAGGAUCCCCAUGACCGGAGAAGAACGUUACGUGAUUGUGUUGUUUGUGAUCUAAUAAUGACUAUGACUUCUAAACUUAU